CCUACGGGAGGCAGCAGUGGGGAAUAUUGCACAAUGGGGGAAACCCUGAUGCAGCCAUGCCGCGUGUGUGAAGAAGGCCCUCGGGUUGUAAAGCACUUUCAGUCGUGAGGAAAGGGGUGUAGCUAAUAUCUGCAUCCUGUGACGUUAGCGACAGAAGAAGCACCGGCUAACUCCGUGCCAGCAGCCGCGGUAAUACGGAGGGGGUUAGCGUUGUUCGGAAUUACUGGGCGUAAAGCGCGCGUAGGCUGGAUCGGAAAGUUGGGGGUGAAAUCCCGGGGCUCAACCCCGGAACUGCCUCCAAAACUAUCGGUCUAGAGUUCGAGAGAGGUGAGUGGAAUUCCGAGUGUAGAGGUGAAAUUCGUAGAUAUUCGGGGGAACACCAGUGGCGAAGGCGGCUCACUGGCUCGAUACUGACGCUGAGGUGCGAAAGUGUGGGGAGCAAACAGGAUUAGAUACCCUGGUAGUCCACACCGUAAACGAUGGAUGCCAGUCGUCGGCAAGCAUGCUUGUCGGUGACACACCUAACGGAUUAAGCAUUCCGCCUGGGGAGUACGGUCGCAAGAUUAAAACUCAAAGGAAUUGACGG
rnacentral:rRNA from 1 species